CCUACGGGUGACAGCAGUGAGGAAUAUUGGUCAAUGGGCGCGAGCCUGAACCAGCCAAGUAGCGUGAAGGAUGACUGCCCUACGGGUUGUAAACUUCUUUUAUAAAGGAAUAAAGUGAGGCACGUGUGCCUUUUUGUAUGUACUUUAUGAAUAAGGAUCGGCUAACUCCGUGCCAGCAGCCGCGGUAAUACGGAGGAUGCGAGCGUUAUCCGGAUUUAUUGGGUUUAAAGGGAGCGUAGAUGGGUUGUUAAGUCAGUGGUGAAAGUUUGCGGCUCAACCAUAAAAUUGCAGUUGAAACUGGCUGACUUGAGUACAGUAGAGGUAGGCGGAAUGCGUGGUGUAGCGGUGAAAUGCUUAGAUAUCACGAAGAACUCCGAUUGCGAAGGCAGUUCACUAAACUACAACUGACACUGAGGCACGAAAGUGUGGGGAUCAAACAGGAUUAGAUACCCGGGUAGUC
rnacentral:rRNA from 1 species